ensembl:lncRNA
UAGAGAGGCUAUAUACAGUAGAGAGGCUAUAUACAGUAGAGAGGCUAUAUACAGUAGAGAGGCUAUAUACAGUAGAGAGGAUAUAUACAGUAGAGGGGCUAUAUACAGUAGAGAGGCUAUAUACAGUAGAGAGGCUAUAUACAGUAGAGAGGCUAUAUACAGUAGAGAGGCUAUAUACAGUAGAGAGGCUAUAUACAGUAGAGAGGCUAUAUACAGUAGAGAGGCUAUAUACAGUAGAGAGGCUAUAUACAAUAGAGGCUAUAUACAGUAGAGAGGCUAUAUACAGUAGAGGCUAUAUACAGUAGAGAGGCUAUAUAGAGUAGUGUGGCUACAUACAGUAGAGGGGCUAUAUACAGUAGAGAGGCUAUAUACAGUAGAGGGGCUAUAUACAGUAGAGAGGCUAUAUACAGUAGAGAGGCUAUAUACAGUAGAGGGACUAUAUAUAGUAGAGAGGCUAUAUACAGUAGAGAGGCUACAUACAGUAGAGGCUAUAUACAGUAGAGGGGCUAUAUACAGUAGAGAGGCUAUAUACAGUAGAGUCUAUAUACAGUAGAGAGUCUAUAUACAGUAGAGAGGCUAUAUACAGUAGAAGGACUAUAUAUAGUAGAGAGGCUAUAUACAGUAGAGGCUAUAUACAGUAGAGAGGCUACAUACAGUAGAGGCUAUAUACAGUAGAG